rnacentral:rRNA from 1 species
UACGUAGGGACCGAGCGUUGUCCGGAUUCAUUGGGCGUAAAGAGCUCGUAGGCGGGUGCUCAAGUCCGGGGUGAAAUCCUCCAGCUCAACUGGAGAACUGCCUCGGAUACUGGGUGCCUCGAGGGUGGUAGGGGUAUGCGGAACUAUCGGUGGAGCGGUGAAAUGCGUUGAUAUCGAUAGGAACACCAGUGGCGAAGGCGGCUCACUGGCCCGAUACUGACGCUGAGGCACGAAAGCGUGGGGAGCAAACAGG